rnacentral:lncRNA from 1 species
ACUCUGGGAGACGUUUGAGACCCAGCGUCUCUAGAUCUCGUAUUUGAAUUUGUGGCGCUUGGUGUCCGCGAGUUGCCGAAUGAAGCUGAGCGUCUCAGUGGAACCAGGGAUCUCAGGGAGGGGAAGGUAUAAAAUUUUCAAAUGGAGGAGUAUACCUGAACCUAAUCAUGGAUGUGAUUUUAUGUAAGUAAUAUGUGAGAUACAGAUAAGCUGAUUCUAAAACUUACAAGAAUGGCAAAGAAACAAGAAGAGCUUAAACUGCAAUCAUCAACAGAGAAGCUUUCUGCAACCAAAGUGAAGACUGAAGCCUUAGGCUAUGGCAGAAGUUGGGCGCCUGAAGUACACGUGGAAAUAUGCCAACUGAACAUUGGACUACCACGUCAAGGGUCUCCUACCCCUGGGCCAUGGAUCAAUACCAGUCUGUGACCUGUUAGGAACCGGUAGCAGGAGCGCCUGCCCCUGGCUCAGCGCCCGGUGCCAACAGAACACCUUUCAGGAUCCACAGCAACGCAGACAACAUUUUAAAGCACCUGAUGGAUUUGGAAAAUAUUUAAUGAAGACAAUGAUGCUGACAUCUCAAGUUAAAAGGUUCUACAGAGAAGGCAAAGAUUUUGAAGGCACAGGAGACUAUCAUAGAUAUUCACAACGGCAUCUCCCUAAAGGAUUUGAAAGCUUUGCAUCAACCAAAGGAAAAGCACCAGUGAGAGUCAAGAUACAGUUCCAGACAGAUGUAAUUGGUUAAGAUAAGAUCAUACUGGAUGUGGAUGGGUCCUAGAUCUGACUGCUGAUAUCCUUAUAAGAAGAAGAAAGGACACGCGGAGACUACAGUGAUGUUGCCACAAGCCAAGAAAUGCCAAGAAUUUCGGGAGCCACCAGAAGAUGGAAGAGGCAGGGAAAAAUCCUCCCCUAAAGCCUUCAGAGAGAGCAUAGCUCUGCCAACACCUUGAUUCUGGACAUCUAGCCUCUUAAACUUCCUCAGGUGUCUCAUUUCUUCUGUCUCAGAAGUCAUGGAUGUCAAUGAAGAUAUGGAAUUCACUUAUUCAUUCUUAUAAAUAUUACUUAGUGUCCUUGUGCUUGGCACUGUGCUUGGUCAUUGAGAUCUACUGUUCAAAAGCAAGAUAACAUACAGGCUGGAAUAGCGAGAUGCAAGAAUCCCAAGCCUUCAAAGCCAGCUCCUGCAGAAGAGAGAGGGCCUGGCAGCUGAGCUGGAUGCUUCAGGAGCAGAGGAUCUAUCAACUGCAGACCAAGCACAGGGAGACGCAGGCAAACCUGGAACAGUAACCCAGCCAGCUCCAAUUGCUCCGACAGUACUUGGUGGCCAGAGAGUCGGCAGCAGAAAGCAUGCCCCGGGCCGUGAAGCAGGAAAUCGACUCUGACUCAAUCCUUGAGGUCUGUAUUACAUCUGGGAGUACAACUUGAAGGGCCCCACACUCUUGUUUCUCAGCACCUCAUAAAUCUAAGCCCACGUGAAGUGAACAGAGCAUCCCUUCUUCAAGAGAAUGGAAAAAGAAAGGAUGCUGAGGAGGAACUGUUGGGGGCAGAGCCCUUGAAGCCAGCUGGCAAGACUGAGACCACUGAUCAAUGCUUUGCCCACUGAAAGGACAACCUUAUAAAGAAUUGGAACCAUUAAGCUUUAAUUUUUAGAAAUUUGGAUGCUAGAGGGAAUGGUCUUUAGGGACCGCUGCGGUCCCUAAACCCAUCAUCUGCUCUGGUGCCAGGAUACAAAUC